UCCUGUGAAGUGGGGACUUCAGAGGCCAAGCGAGGGAGACUUGAGCGGUCUCACUGAGUCUCUAUUUCCCAAUCCGUACGUGGGGAUGAUGACAGGGCUGCCUUCAGAGGUUUGCCGGGAGGAUUAAACAGGUGACUCCAGACUCUGGCUCCAGCGACCCCGCGUUUUCCGCGCUGCCCAACACCUGUGGCCGUGCGCCAAGCUGCCCCAGGGCCCCAUCGCUGCUCUUCGCGUUUGGCCCCAGCAGUGCUCUCCACCCCGGGCCUUAGGGUGCUGGGGGCAGCCCUCCUCCACCCCAUCGUUGGCCUCUCCAAGAAGGCCCCUGCGGUCCUAAGUGGCCUGGGUGCACGCCGCCGGAGCGCCUCCUGCAGGUCGGCCGCGGGAGUAGGUGCCCUGGCUCUUCUGAGCAGGGACGCAGAAGGAGGUGCACAUCCGCUCAGCGCUUGAUAGUUUCCAAAGCCCCUUUUCAGCACGCCUUCUCACAAAGGUCCUCGCCCUGGUGACAUGGUGACCGUGCCCAUCUUAGCCCUGGAGAAACAGCGAGGCGAUCUUCCAGAUCACCCACUGCCCGCGGCUGUCAGUGCCGCAGCACUGUAGUGGCACUUUACUAGCCCACCGGCCCAGCCGUGGAGCUGGGAGGUGACGGGACCUCUGGCAUCCUGCGGAGGCAGAUGGCCAUCCCCGCCCCAGUCAGCUGUGCCCUUCCUCUCGGCCUCUGUGACCUACUGUAGGACUGGUCACACUGGUUAGUUGGACCCGCCUCCCAGCUUGCAUGGGAGGGUUCCUCAUCCAAGCGGGGACUGAUCCUGUUUACCUAAACUCCCCCGCACGCU